GCCGACAGGUGAAUGCGUUCAGUGGAAACCACAAUAGCGACGUGCGCGAUUGUGCAGGUCCUUUUCGCUACGCUUGCGCGCUGCUCGCAAAAGACACAUUAUCUCACUGUGGGCGGAGCACGCGCCGAAAUAGACAAAGGCGGUCUUCUAAGAACUGGGCUCGAGGCUGAGUUUUUAGAACCUCUACCUCAGCCGCGGGAACUGCCCCCGAACAAAUCCCGUCAUCGACUCGAUGAUACAAAAAGAUGAAGAAAAGAAGAAUGCCCUGGUAUUGGUUGCUGUCACUACCACUACUAGCAGCAAUGGCGCUCGGAAAUGCUUCAGGCGGCAGCACCGGGACGUCGGACAUCAAAGGCAGCCGCAUACCAGGAAUUUCAGGCGCUACACUCGGUAGCUCGUCGAAUAUUGAACGGAGAUGGAAAUGCCAAAGGCUCGGCAAACUUUCUACAGCUCAAGCACCGAAUCCAAGAUGCUGGUUCUACUGUUUCGAUGAGUCCCUGUAUCGAAUCUACCGGUUACCCGAACCAAACGGAGCACCAUGCUUGGUGGACAAGAACUACCCUCAAGGAAAGUGCAGAUAUUCGCGGUGUCGCCAGGCCAACAUGAAGAGAAGAUGGUGGAUUGGCAAAUGGUUCCGCAAGGGCUCUGGUGUCAAAGAAUAAACACGAUAAGCUACACACAA